rnacentral:rRNA from 1 species
UACGGAGGGAGCUAGCGUUGUUCGGAAUUACUGGGCGUAAAGCGCACGUAGGCGGCUUUGUAAGUUAGAGGUGAAAGCCCGGGGCUCAACUCCGGAACUGCCUUUAAGACUGCAUCGCUUGAAUCCAGGAGAGGUGAGUGGAAUUCCGAGUGUAGAGGUGAAAUUCGUAGAUAUUCGGAAGAACACCAGUGGCGAAGGCGGCUCGCUGGGACGGUACUGACGCUGAGACGCGAAAGCGUGGGGAGCAAACAGG